rnacentral:lncRNA from 1 species
GUCACACAAUUAACUAUAUUCCAAACCACUAAAACACUAAGAAAUACUAUAAUGCUUCUUUCCAGUAACAAUACUCCUUCAUCAACUGAUAACCACAAUGUACAACCCUGCACUCUCAAAAGACCACUCAAAACUCAAUAAAUUCUAUCCAACACCAUGAAUAACAGACUUCAUUCCAACCAAUUUGAAUUCACAUAAUUCCUGUAAUCACAGACUUCUUCUAUCGAAACACACACACACAACUCUCAAUAAACAAAAAUCAUAAUCUUCCAUCCAUAAUCAAUCUUUCAAUAACUUCUCAUAUAAUUCAAUCACUCAGUACUCCAAUUAUAUAAUCAAUAAUUCAUAAAUCAAUCUCUGAUUUA